rnacentral:lncRNA from 1 species
UCUCUAGACCCAAAUAUUCAAUAUUAAAAAAAAAAACAAAUGAUAUUUUGAUAUACGAAUUAAAUAUUCAAUAUUCCCAAACCACAGCAACCACAAUAUUCAAUAUUCCCAAUAAGUAAGGUAUAAUUACGUAAUAAACAAUAUAAUUAAUUAAUAAUGAUUAAUAGUAAUUAAUAAAAGAAGGAAACUGAAGCUCAAAAAUUGAAAAAUGAAUGACGAGAUAUAUAUAUGUAGUAUACGAAAAUCAAUGACCGAGAAUGUUAAACUCUAUAUCAUCAUCAUCUCCAUGAAGAAAUCCAUUGGUGCUGGCACUCUCCGAAGUUGGGGCUGUGUCAGGAGUUGGGGUUGCACCAAUCGGCUUGGAUUCUUCCUCUUGGUUUUCUUGAUCAUGCAUCUUGUUUGCAUCCACAGGUGGCGAAUCAACAAUCUCCUCUGCUCCGACAUGUGCCACAACUAUAAGCAUGAUGAAACAUGCUACAAUAGUCAUCAACCUAAGGGAUGAACGUGGACGAGCCAUGGAGGUGUCUGUAUACGUUUGUUUUCCCCCCGUCUGUUUGGUUUUGUUUGGUUUGGUAUGGCUUGGAUUGUUGGGAAUUAAGACAGCAAUUUAUCAUAUAAAUAGUUUUUCUCUCUCGUUCGUUUGUGCUUGUCCAUUCAAUUAAUGGAGUGGGUUGGUUCAAGAUUCUCGGUUCCCACCAUUUUGUUGUUUUAGGAAAUUUGAAUUCAAAAAAUAGAACUGGGAUUUAAUGGAUCAAAAAAAAUUGGGUCAGUUUUUUAUUUACCUGUUUUCAUUCUCUUCUAUUUUCUGCUGAAGAAUCAAAAUCUGCAAUCUGCAUGGCGGAUUGUACUACAUCCUUGUAGCAUUUCCAUGUGUGGUCGUUGCAAUCAUCGUAGCUGCUAAACAUAUCUACAGACAUCUCUUGAAUUACACUGAACCAACCUACCAACGUUACAUUGUUCGCAUCAUCUUCAUGAUUCCUGUCAGUCUGAUUUUUUUCAUACUCAAUAAUAUGAUAUCAAAUCAUCAUCCCAACUUCUCAGUUCUCACCAUAAUAUAUAUAUAUAUAUAUAUAUAUAUGAAUGUAUGUAGAUAUUUGCAACAACAUCUUUCCUAUCUCUGGUGCUCAUUGAAAAAUCCAUCUACUUCAAUUCCAUUCGAGACAUGUAAGUCUUCUUUCAAUCUAUUUUUCUGUUAAAAUUAAUCAUAUCUAUCCAUUUUCAUUGUUAAUUGAUUGGAGGUAUGAAGCUUGGGUCAUAUACAACUUUCUUUCGCUUUGCUUGGCUUGGGUUGGAGGUCCCGGUUCUGUUGUUCUAAGCUUGACCGGUCGAUCGCUCAAACCUUCUUAUUGUCUUUCGACAUGCUGUUUUCCACCCAUACCUCUUGACGGCCGUUUCAUACGGAUGUGCAAACAAUGGACGUUGCAAUUUGUCAUUCUAAAACCCUUUCUGGUGGUUGUCACAUUCAUUCUCUACUCCAAAGGAAAGUACAGGGAUGGAGAUUUCAGUCCUCAACAACCUUACCUCUAUUUCACAAUCACCUACACGAUCUCCUAUUCCAUGGCUCUUUACGGACUCGCUCUCUUCUACGUUGCAUGCAAACACCUUCUUCAGUCAUUCAAUCCAAUCCCUAAGUUCAUUCUCAUCAAAUCUGUCAUUUUCUUGACUUACUGGCAGGUUAGCUACACACAUCUCCAGGGAUUUAUUGAAUUGCAUCCAAAAUUCAUUCAUCCAUUCAUAAUUCAAUAUUCCUUCUCUCAGGGUGUGCUGGUUUUCCUAAUUGCAAAGUCAAGUCACAUAAAGGAUGCUAAGGAAGCCGCUGAGUUUCAGAAUUUCAUCCUAUGUAUUGAGAUGAUGGUUGCAGCCAUUGGCCACCUUUAUGCAUUUCCUUACAAAGAGUAUCAAGGUGCUAACAUUACUGCAUCUAGUGACUUACCAGGAAGCCUUGCCCAUGCCGUGAAAGUCAACGAUUUCUACGAUGACACGGUACAUCAGGUGUGUCAUCAGGUCUACUAAAUUUGUGAACUAUGAGUUAUGACCAACCAAUCAUGUGGUGUCCAUUGCGCUAAUUCUAACCAUAGAUACUUCUGUAUAUGGUUGCAUAAUGCAGUUUGCUCCAACCUACCACGAUUACAUUCUCUAUAACAGCACCAAUGAAUCCAACGAUAACAGUGAUCAAGGAGAAGCAGCAUCAACCAAGUACAGAUCACGAACAUUUGUUCCAACUGGACAGGAAAUGGAUGCAGUGAGAAAAAACAAGCAUAUUUUGAGCACACCAUCCUCCCCCUCAUCGCCAUCCAAUGUUAAUGGAAGACCAAAUCAAAAUCAGAUGGUUGAUUCAUCAGAGAGUCCUACGGCGACUACAAUGAAAUCUUCAUUUCUAAAAGAUGCAUCAACAGAGUCAUCGCGGUCAUAUGAUCUCUCUCUGGUUAACACAGAUGUGAAUCCAACCAAAUUUUCAGCAGUACUAGACGAGUCAAGCAAACGAUGAUAUCAUAUGAUUGAUUUUAUGAAUCUCUAGGAAAGCAUGUAGAACCACUAUACUCGUCUUGGUUUUUAUUUUUUAGGUGGCAAAAAGGAUGGAUAAUGAAUCUAGAUUCUAGACAUCUAGUAAUAUUCUAGCUAGAGGUCCCACGUAUGCGAUGUUUGUCUACGUCUACAAAGAAAGUAAUGGGAUUCAUUUCCAGAACCCACCCAGAGACAAUGAUGUAAGAAAAUGAAUAUAAAAUUUUCAGUGCAGGUAGUUCAAGCCUCAUCAACAUGACUUUCAUCAAAAUAAAGAGUAAAAAGGAGUUUUUAGAGUUUUAUCAUAGACUUAAUUAGCAUACUUUGUUGUAAAUCUUAAUGUGCUAGCUUAGAUAGUAGCUAGUCUUGAAAGGCUAAGUAGAGCAAAACACAGUUGUUAUUUUCAGAGUGGCAGGAAAUGGAGGUUACCUGAAUGAAUUUAGUAACCUCCCUGUAUGAAGGCACUGAGCCGAUCCAGCUCCUCCCGGUGCUCAAUCACCACGGCACGAACAACAUCACCGAUUGAAAGCAUGCCAAGCAUUCCCUUGACAUCAUCGAUCACUGGGAUGUGCCGAAUACGAUUAUCUAGCAAAUAAAUAAUUGAGAAAUGAGAACCAAGCCAAACCAAGCAGGGUAAUUGUAUCAGUGGAUUCAUGGGAACAAGUAUACUCACCAGUCAUGAGUUGCAUUGCACGCAGAACUUUGGUAUCUGGUGUGACAGUUAUAAGCUUAUUCUGAAAACAAAAGAAAUAUUCCCGGUUAGGUUCUAAUUAAUACAGAAAAUCAUCAAUACAUAUUAUAUUGAAAAUUUGAAACUAAUUUACCUCUUCAGUCAUGAUAUCUCCAACUUUAGUUUCCUUGGACGAUCUUCCCUGAACAAUGAUUUUCCUCAAGUAAUCUGCAGAUUUAUAGAUUUAUUAUUUACUUUGACAUCAAGAAUGAAAGUAAGUGGAUGAAAAAUGAUACCUCUCUCAGUAAUAAUCCCAGCAAUGGAUUUUCCCUCUUCAGUCUUGACCACAACCAGGGCUCCCACAUUGUUCUGAGUCAUCGAUUUGACGGCGUCGUAGACGGUGUCGUUAGUGGUGCACCAGAGCCAAGAUCCAUCGGCGUUCUUCCCUUUCGAUUUAAUGAUAUCGGAGAUGGUAGUGCUCUCGAAUCCAUGUUCUUCGAUGGGAGAAGGUUUGGACGAUUCAAAUCGCACAGAGGUAGUGGCGAUUCCACUGGUUUUGGCACCAGUUCCGACGAUGAUACGAACAUGACUGAGCACUGAUCUUCGCAGCACACUCAUGGCGGUUCCCUGCAUGUUGGCUAGCGAGCUAGGUCCUUGAUCGUUGGGCGAAGGAAGGAAUCGGAAAAAUGGGGGAAAGUGAGGUCGCAAAAGUUGUUAGAGGACGAAAUCACUGGAUUUAUGCAGAAUGUCUAGUGGAAUCAGAAAUGGGUGGAUUGGUGGGUUGUCGUUAUUCGGAUUUCAGAUAAGGAUUAUUAAUUAUCAUCAUUGAUCAAUAAUUACUGAUUUAUAAAAUAUUAUAUUUUCAAUUAACAAUGGACUAAUGACUAAUCACUAAUUUAAUGGACCGUUUUAAAUUCUAAAGAAACAAAAGAAUAUAAAAACAAAUGUAAAAUAUCUUAAAUCAUCAUGUACUUUCAUUUUUGUGGGAAAACUUCUUCUUCUUUUUUUAAUUACAGUUAGACAAUUAAUUAUAAAAUUGCAAUUAAUUAACUACUUAAAGUGUUCCCUGUAAUUUAUUAAAAAAAUUCUCUGUGAUGCUUCCUUUCGGUUUGGACGACCUCCAGUCAGACCCGGUUCAGUUUCGUUAAACUGGCAGUUAUUUCCUCCCCGUUCCUUUUCUUUAGUUUAGCAGUUAUUUCCCUUCGGCGAUCGCCGAGCUAGCCCUCGUAUUCUCAUCCUUGGAAGUUCGUUGUAGAUCAUUUGCGGAAGACUUGUUCUGUUUUAAUGAAGUCACCAUUCACAAGAUUCAAUUAGCUUAGUUAAAACCUCAUUCCAUAAAGACAAAAUGGCAAAAAAAAUACAUAUCGUGUUUUCCACCUCGAGAUUGUGGCAUUUUAAUUUCACAUUCACCCCAUGGUUUUGCAAAAUACAGAUCCACCGAUUAGAAAGAGAUGGACGGUUCUGAUGAGGUUGGUCAUGAGGAGAUCCAGGAAUAAUUCUUUGUUUAAACUUAAAAUCCAAUAAACAAAAAACAUAAAUAAUUCUAUUCUGUCAAAGAAAACUAGAUAACUAUUACUACUAUCCCAUUAAAUUCAUUGUUUUAGCUGAACAAAAGAAAAGACAUCUGAAUUCUGUAGGAUUCCGAAUGAUCUUAUAAUGAGAUCAGUGGUGACUACUACCACGAUGUCUAAAUGGAUGAUAAUUAUCAGAAGAGGAUGGCUUGAUCAUCUUCCAAUUGCCAUCCAUCUUCUCUUUGGAUACUGGCUUGCUUUUGGGUGAUGAUAUCUCUUUGACAUGGCGAGCCCAUAGGUUCUCUCUAUCCUUGCUUGAAAUCUUUAAAUAUCGUAAAUCGUGCUUUAUAUGGCGUUUAGCUUCUGACCAUGAUGUCAGGAUAUUCUUACCUUUAUCUGUUACCUGUGAUAAAGCAGCCUCAGGAGUGAUUAACUCAGUUAGCAUUGUACAGAAAUCCUGCACACAACGCUGAAAUCCGAAGUAUGUUAGAAAAUGCAAGGAUUUUUUUGGAUACUCGAUUUCAUGUGAUUUUAUUAGACAUCAACUAGAAAAUCAAGGACACUGCAAAUUAAAAUAUUUGUAAUUAUUGCUGAAAAGGCAAAGAAAAGCUAUAUAAUUGGAAUAUACGUACACCAUAUAAACUCUUCACAUGAACUCUGAAAAUGUUUUCCAAAUCUGCUUGAACUAGAUUGCAGCUUGUAAAACGUCCUUGGGGGUCCUUUUCCAAUUUAGGUUUAGAUUCAGUCCAUGAUGCCUGAGAAAAAAGACCUUAGAAUGAUCUGAUGUAGGCACAAAGCCUGAGAAUCGUACUUAAGACCAAAAGUGAUACCUUUGGAUCCUUAAUUGUCUCGACGAGUAAUGCAUGGUAAGAAGUUUCCGCCUCUUUCUUAAGAAUUUUUAAUCUUAAGGACUCCAUUUCUUGUUCGUCUCGUUGUUUUCUCUUGCGCAUUUCCUGCUCCCUCUUUUUAAGUUUAUCCUGGAGAGAAAUGAAUUGUAUAACAAAUCAACAAUAGAUAAUAAUGCCAACUUGGUUAUUCAAUAAAAAUCGAUAAAUUAAACAAAAACAAUCUAAUAACAAGAAUUACUUGCUCUUCUCUUUCAGCAUUUGCAGCAAUUUCUGAUUCAUCUUUCAAGGCUUUCAACUUGGAUAGAUACUCAUUAAACAAAGCUUCUCUUUCUUCAUGCUUAAUUGAAUUGUAUCUUGGGUCAUUCCGAAAACUAUCUUUUACCUGAGUGAAAAAUAAGAAGAAACAAAAUAUGUGAAAUUAAUAUAUUACGACUUCGAAAAAAGCAUGACUAAGAAAUUAAUUUAUGUAUUAGGUUCAUUCCGUCUUAUCUUGUUUCUUGAAUGACAAAAAAUAAUCAAUUUCAUAUUUGGCUUUCAUUUUAAGGAAAGCUAGAAUGAUCAUGACUCACAAGGGUCUCAACUAUAAUGUAUUAGUAGUAAAUAGAAUUAUAUAAUAUAUACCAUAGACCAACGGCUGGAAGCAGUUAUAUGGCAACUAUCUUUGAGCAUUGACUCAAAUUCAGAAACAACAACAGCACGAGUUGCUUGUAUUUUCUGUUCUGAAGCCUUUUUCAAAGCAAGAAUCCUGAAAGAAUAUUUAAAUAUCUUAGAUAAAAAUAAUUUAUUCAUAUAAAAAAAUAGUAAGACACAAGGAAGAAAUAUAUACCUUUCAUUAAAAAACAGCUCACGGUCCUUAUAGUUCAAGGCUUCAAAUCGCGAAUCAUUCCCCCAUUUCUUUUUGAAUGUAUGGUAAUUUAUUCUUUUAUUAAUGUCCUGAAAAUUGGAAGAAAAAAAUAUUAGUGUAAAAUUUCUUUAUUCCAUGAAGGAAAACAUGUAUGUGCACUAACCAAAAGAAAUUACUUUGUAGUGUGUAAAACCAAACAAAUUACAAAGGCUAUAUUCUAAAACUAUCGUCUAACCUCUAAAGCUUCUUCUAGUAAUUUUUUGAAACCCUCGAUUGCAGCCUUCUGAGCCAUCCUUUUUUCUUUGCGUUCUUCUUCGGCUCUUGUCCGAACAUAAUGUUCAAACAACGAUCUACGAGUAGCAUGACUGGGAACAGCCUAAAAUAAAGAAAGUUUAGAAAAUAAGUCAAGUCACAAAACUAGAUUGCAGAAAGAAAGAAAAAAUUAACUGGAUUUUAAAGAGGUAAACACAAAAAAAUAUGAAACAGGUACACACCAAAAGGUUUGAAAAAUGAAUUACAGCUAAGUUAUAAAAGUGAGCAUCCCACAUUCCCACCAGCACCAAACGAGCAUAAAAUUAAAUAAGUAAAACCCAUAGUAAAUAGCACAGAAUCACGAGUUGAUCAGUGAAAGAAGCCUGAUCGUUAAUCCUUAGUUCCUUCUUUUAGAACAUAUGUAUAAUAUUGUGUCUAUGCACAUAUAUGUGGCCAUGUCUUUCUAGCAACCACAUGAUCAGUGAUCACAUACAUGCUUAUGAAGUAAUGAAACCUUAAUAAUAUUGCGCCUACGCACAUAUAUGUAGCCAUGCAUGUCUAGCAAUCGUAUGACCACAUACAUGCUUAGGAAACCUUGACAUGUAAAGAUGUAGCAACUCCUCCAGUAUUUUUAUUUUUACUCCUUUUGUUGACGUUUAUGGUUUGUCCAGGCAAUACUUGCUAAAUUCCAGCCAGUAUACAACGAACAUCACCUGAAUAGAUUUUGAACAUGUUUUGAAUAAAAAUUACUAAAAUACCCCGACCAGCUGACCAGAAAUCUCCGACCGGUCAGCAGUUAGCUGGUCUUUAAACCUUUAUUCAUAAAGAUUUUUAUUGUAAUUUACAAAUAUGAGAUCACCUAAUCAGUCAAAAUUCAUUCAUUUCUUUCUCUUAAUACAAAACUGCAAUUAGGAAAAUCAAAUUUAAAAAUCCAAACCAAUUGACAAAAAUGAGAACAUGAUGGAAGGCAGAACAACACGAUUUAAGAAUUUGUAUAUACAUAAUUAUAUACAUGGUGGAAGGCUUGUAAUUCCUGUCAUAUUACCGAAUACCUUCGUGUUAGGAUUUGUGCGAUGCUAUGAUAUUGACAAACAAAUCAACCAAAAUUUCUUAUUCUCUUUCCUAGAGUGAUUUUCAAUGGUUUGUUACAAUUUUUUCUUAGUCUUUUGUGUAUGAACAUUAAUAAAGUAACUUAGGGAUCUUAAGAUUAGUUUAGUAAGUUUACCAGUGUUAAACUGCUAAUAAUGACCACAUUUUAUGCAGUGGUAAGUUAAUUAUUUCUGAAUAAAGGUAGUUAGAUCAUAAUAUAAAAGUUGCAAAUCAGAAGUACAAAUCCAAAACCCAUGAAUCCUGCAGAUUUCAGUAAUACCAGCAUCAUUAGAGUAUUAAAUGAAGCAAUGAACUAAUUGGAAUUUGCUCUCCAAUCCUUAUAACUCCCUAAAAUAACAUAAAACAUGGGAUGAUGGUGAAUUGGGGAGGAAAAAACCCAGGUGGGAGUCUUUGCUCCUCUUGUAUUCUUUUGUUGUUGUCUUUCCCAUCUAUCAAAAAUAAGCCUAUCAAAAUUUAACAUUGUUGGGAACCUUUUAGCAAUACAUCUUUCUAGCUAUCUGUAACCCUUGCACUUUGAGGUGGACUUCAGCUAAUGAAGGCUUGCCAAAGGUGGAGGGAGAGAGGGAUACAUAGAUCUCUAAAAAAUUGCUUUGACUACUAGAGUUCUUUCACGAAUCACGAGAGAUUCCUACAAUCCUGACCUUGGUUCUAGUCGAGUAGUUUCAACUUUCAAAUGCACAAAAAGUUUAAAAUCCACAAAUUGAUGAGGUUGAGAAUAUCCAAACCUUAAAUCGUGAAUCAAAUAUAAUCUUUGGCAACUCCUUGUCCCAUUUGGAAAAAGGAGCAAUUCCACGCUCUUUGAGCAUUUCCUGAAAGAAUGGAUAAAAUAUAAAGUUAUUGAUGAAUGUCUAAAUUAAAACUCUAAAAGUUAAUUUGAAGACAAGUUAGCUUCACCUAGAGCCUAGAGGUAAAGCGUACAUAAUGACAUCGAGAUGCAAAAAUAAAGAAAAACCUUGAACUGCAUCAUGCAUUGUUCAAUUGUGGGUCCACUCUCUGUAUCUUCAGAAUCUGAAGUUGACUCGGAUAAAUUACCAUCUCCACUAGGAUCUUUUAAUUUCUCUUUAUUGCUUUCAGCAUGUUGGCUAUGAGUAGAAAUUUCAGUGAUUUUUGGACUAUCUGAAUUCAAUACAAGUGGUAUAGAUGAAGCAUGAAGAGGCGAUGAUAGCGGAGGCCCCCCAGCAUCAUUUAGUUUCUUCUUAACGAGAUCCAGUGUAGAUGAUGGUACUGAAGUAACUGAAUUUCGUAUUUGUGCAGAACUACCACCUUCAUCAAAAGCUGGUUUGUCCAAAUUUGAAACAAUAGGUCCAUUAUCUAUCUCAGAGCUUAAAAUAUGAAGUGGAACAGGGGAUGCUUUACUAACAUCAAGAUCUUUAUGAUUCUCAAGCUCUUCAACCUCCUGAGGAAUUUGCCAGCUACUCACCUGAACCAAGAAUGUUAAGUGACAGCAUGCCAUUCAUAAUUAAAUUACAAUAUGACAUUUAUGUAUAUUUUCAACAAGUAACACUAUAUGAUAAAAUGUAGUGUCAGAAUUACAAUGAGAAAAGACUAAAUAUUUAUAGGGUUAGUUGUCUCAAGUAUUGAGACUUAGACCACUAUCUUGAUUCUUUAAAGCCAAUGACAAUUGGAAUUUGGCUCAUGAGAAAUACUCUUCAUUUAAUAUUAUGUCUCCCUUUAAAAUUAUUUAAUUGAAAAAUUAAAACUUUCAUUACUGAAAAAGAGGUUGGGCAAAGCCCAAGAUUACAGAAUAAUAUAGGGAAAUACAAGUACAGUAAAUGUAAAAACAUUGUCUAUCUCUUAUGCAGCUAUGACCCUGACUAACUGGCCAAGGAUUGAAGCCUCAAGAGGUUGGACUCCCAUGAGCGUAUAACUUGUAUUUCAAUCUGUGAAAGAUUGUGCUUCUUAUAGGAUGUAGAAUCAUAUGCAAUGCUCACAUCCUUUAUAAUUUCUCUGCUGACAAUUUUUGAGGGCCUUAGGGUGUGUUGUUUUAAUCUCCUGUUCCUUUCACACCAUAUGUGCCAGGAAAGAGAUGCUAGCAUAGUCCAGUGUACCCCCCAACAACUGGACUUGUGGGUGAAUUUUUGUAUUGUUUCCAUAAUAUCUCCUAUCCUAAUAUCUAUUGCGAGAGAUGGGGAAUUUUGCCCACUAAGUGUCCAAACAGCAUUAUUAAGACAGCUAGUGGUCUCUAGCAAUAGGGAUCUAGUGUAAUGGCAGUUAAAGUAUAGGUGUUGUAAUGUUUCUUCCUCAUCUCCACAUAGUGGACAGGACGUAUUUAUGUUGAGUCCCCAACUUUGCAGUCUAGUUAAAGUGUUCAGACUCUUGAUCUUAUUUCUCCACAACAACAUAGAGAAUUUAGGAGGCUUUUUGGCCCAGAUCCCUAGAUUUAUCUCUUGUAAGAUGCCUUUGGGCCUUAAUGUUUCUGAGUGCUUGAAGGGGUCAAGCAGUUUAUACAUUUCCUUAUUGUUUCCUUAUUAGCUAGUAUAGUUUUCCACAUGUGAGAGUCCAGAGUAGGCCUACACUCUAUCUCCCCAAUGCUUCUUCCUUUGAUGUAUCUAAUUUUUAUCCAGUCUGCUAGUAUGGAGUUGUUAGGACUCCACAUCCUCUCUGUUCUUUUAACCAAAGCAGAAGCAUUAGUUGCAAAGAAAUCCCUGACCUCUAUUCCGCCUUCGCUCUUUGGAAGUGCCAUUUUUUCCCAACUACUCCCUCUUCUCCUGUCCCAAAUAAAAUUGUAAGCUAGGCUCUGGAUCUUCUUAAUAACUGUGUAUGGCGGUGUGGUUCCGUUUGCCCAGUAUUGAAACUUACCUUAUAAGACCCAAUUUACUAAUUGGGUUCUACCUGUGUAAGACAGACAUCUCCCUUUCCAUCUGGCUAACAUUUUUUCUAUUGGAUUUAUUAACUUCCAACAUGUUGCGUGAGAUUUCUUUCUUCCCGUUAUUGGGAGACCAAGAUAGUUGAUAGGGAGGGAUUUAGUUGGAAAGUUGAGAAUGUUAUGCAGAUAAUAGUCAUUCAUGCAUACUUUUGAGUAGGUUGCCGAGCUCUUCUCCUGAUUAAUCUCGAGGCCUGAGAAUUUGGAAAAAUCCCUAGGAUUUUCUUGAUUGUUUCUAAAGACUUGGGAUUUGCUUUUGAGAAGAUCAACACAUCAUUUGCGUAAAUGAGGUGCGAGAUGGAAACCGCUCCAUUCACGAUAUAAGUAUCUAUCCUUUUAUCUUUGAUCUCUUUCUCUAUUAGUCUACUAAGAUUAUCCAUUACCAGGUCGAAUAAGAUACGAGACAAUGGGUCUCCCAGCCUGAUUCCUCUAAAGUUAGUGAAGGGGGGAGUGGGGGAUCCCUCCACCAGAACCGAGAAGGAGGCUGUGGAUAUACAGUUAUGUACCAAUUUGCACAACAGAGGGCUGAAUCCCAUUGCGUCAAGGGUGUGUGUGAUUGCUUGCCAUUUCACUGUAUCGAAAACCUUUUUGAGAUCUAUGCUUAAACAUCUUUUGGGGGUUCUAAUUCUCCUGAAGCCAUGUACCAUCUCGUCUGCCAAGAUGGUGUUAUCUGAGAUGUUUCUUCCUGCUAUGAAUGUUGUUUGGUGAGGAGAUAUUAACUCGGAAGAGAUCUUGGAGAUUCUGUCAGCCAAGAUUUUGGUGAGAAGUUUAUAAAUUAAGUUGACACAGGAGAUUGGCCUAAAGUCCGAUAGUUCGGUAGCUGUGGUUUUUUUUGGGAUAAGAGUAAUAAAUGUGUGAUUAAUUGACCUCAAUAUGGGUUUGCCGUUGAAGAACUGUCUGACACAAGUUAGGACUGUUUGCUUUAGUUCCGGCUAGAGAGCUUUGAAGAAACCCACUAUGAAACCAUCAGGUCCUGGGGAUUUCCCCAUUUGAAAUGCGAACAAGGUGGAUUUAACUUCCUCUUCUGUGGGUUGUUGAGUCAACCAUGUGUUCAUAUCUUGAGAUACAAUCCUAGGGAAAAUAACGGGGGAUGGUAUAUCUGGGAAGGGAGAACUCUUGUAGAUAUCCUUAAAGUAAUCCAUACUCCUUUUUUCUAAUUGGGCUCUUGAGAUGACUACCCUACACUCUCCAUUUAUUAAUUUCAGAGUUGAGUUCUUUGCCUUCCUUAUCUUUGUAGCAAGACUAAAGAACUUAGUGUUUGAGUCUCCUAAUCUAAGCCAACUGACCUUGCUCCUCUGUUUUUGGUUAGCCUCCUCUAUUCUGAGUUUAUUGAUUAACUUCUCCCGCUUCUUUUUGACCUCUUCUUGGAUAGAAGGGGCUAUUGGGCAGAUUAAUUGCAAUUAACUCCAAAAGAAGGGUGAGAAUUCCUCUACCGAAUGAUUUUACAAAUCAAGGGGGAAACCUCUGGCUUCUCAAAAACCUCGUUAACAAAACAUUCUCUUUUGUUGUGUGUUCUUAUUUUUUCCUUCCUCCACUUCUAUUUUUUCUGAUCUGAUUACACGUUUCAGAUCAGUACUUUUGUGUGAAGUCAUAAUUGAGAGAAUAGAGAGAGCCACUAUUAUCGUGUGAGGUAAAGAAAAUCUGAUCAGGAGAGAUCAGAUCUGGUUAGGGUUAGGGUGCACUUUAGUUGGUUUCUUCUCUGAAUGAGUUGAAUUUUGUGAAGGAAAAUUCAGAUGCAAAUUUAUGGCACAAAAGGAUGGGACACUUGGGAGAAAAAGGCUUGAAGGCUCUGCACAAUGAUGGUAAAUUUCCCAAUCUAAAUUCUGUAAAUUUAGAUUUUUGCGAGGAUUGUAUUUUUGGCAAACAAAGGGCUGUCAAUUUUCUAAAGCAGGGAAAAAACCUAGACAACGAAAUCUGGAGUUGGUGCACACUGAUGUGUGGGGACCAGAUUCUGCUUGCUCAAAUGGAAGGUCCAAGUAUUUUGUCCAAGCUUUUACAUGCGAUCGCUUAGGCGAUCAUGCGGUCUAACGCAUGUAGGCGAUUGUCUUCAUGCGACCCACUAAAUAACCCAUUUACCCACUAAAUUAUAUAAAAAUGAGGGAAUAGAGUUUUAAAACCCUAACCCCUCAUUUUUCUCCCAUUUUCUUCUCCUUUCCACCAAAUUUCCAGCCACCCUCCUACCUCCUUUUCAGGCCAUCUCCUCCACCUGCGGCGACUGGUUAGAACAGGCAACGGCCAGAUCCGGUGAACUCCGGCGAACGUCGAAGGCGAUUCCGGCCAGAUCAGGCGAGCUUAUUUAUGCGAUGCCUAGACGUUCAUGCUACCCAAUCCAUCGCAUGAACGCCUACUCGCAUGUAAAACCUUGAUUUUGUCACAUUCAUUGAUGAUCACAGCAGGAAGGUAUGGUUUUACUGUAUUAAAAAAAUCUGAUAUGUUUUCUGUUUUCAAGAAAUGGAAGGUGGAAGUUGAAAAUCAAACAAAUGUAAAGAUCAAAAAGUUGAGAUCAGACAAUGGAGGGGAGUAUGAUAGUGUGGAGUUCAAGUCAUUUCUUGAGGAAAAUGGCAUUAUCAUGCAAAGGACAGUACCAGGGACACCUCAACAGAAUGGGAUAGCUGAAAGGAUGAAUCAGACAUUGUGUGAGAGGGCUAGAAGCAUGAGAUUAAAUUCUGGUUUGCCAAAAGAAUUUUGGGCAGAGACAGUAAGUACUGCAGCUUACUUAAUCAACAGGAGUCCAUCUUUUCCUCUGAAAAUGAAGGUACCACAUGAGGUGUAGACUGGAAAGAAGGCAACGUAUGAUCACUUGAAGGUGUUUGGUUGUGCAAGUUAUAUCCUAAAGUCAAAGGAGGUGAGGGAUAAGUUGGAUUCCAAGUCAGAGAAGGUUUACUUCAUUGGAUAUGGCCAAGAUCAACUUGGUUAUCGAAAAGCGCUUCCACUUUUCAGGAAGCGCUUUUUCGCUUUGAGUUCUUUAGCGCACUUAAAAUGCCAGGAGUAUUUUUAAAAAUAUAUGUAAAAAAUACAUAUAAUCUCUAUAAAUACCUAUAAAAAAAUGAAGGUAUAAAUGAUUUUUAAAAUUAAAAACGAGGAUGGCCGGAAUCCGGCAGAACAGGCCGAAAUCCGACCAACCUCGUUUGGGGGCUUGAGGAGAGAUGAAACCUUACCAAAAUCAGGAGUAGUGUUGAGGGGGGCGACAGCAGCAACUAUCUCCAAGUAAAUGAACUUCUCCAGCAAGAAUGGGGGCCAACUCCGGCAAGGUAUAUGAAAUGGAGAGAAAUGUAGACUUUUAGGAUUUUUAGAAAUGGGAGUAAGGGUUUUUAAUUUAAGUAGAAUAGACUAUAGAGGGGUAGAAUAGAAAAAAGUGCAUUAAGUGAAACAUAAUAUUAAAUAAUAGGUAUAUUGGGUAAUCGGGUAGAUAUUUACCCGAUUACACACUCUAGGAAAAGCGCUGGAAAAAACGCUUCUCCUAAGACUGAGCUACUACUUGAGCUGACCGAACUAUUGCUUGAGCUAUUCUAAGCUCCUCUCUAAUAUGUUUGAGCUACUUGUUUAUCAUUUUGAGCUCCCCAACUACUCUCUGAGCUAGUUGGUCCUCCUUGAGUUGUUCUUUUGUCAUGUUUAACCCAUUUAGCUCAAAUGGGUGUGUUGUGUGCCAUCGUGUUGGGUGGCUUAUUAACUAGAUCUGAAUUGGAUCGUGCUCUAAUGGUGUCUCCUCCUUUACACAUUUAAGGAUUGCACAUUUAUAUUGUUCAUCAAAUAACGAUAAUAUUUGCACCAAUGAGUUGAAAAACAUAUCAUGAGGAUCUUGGCAUUGUGUGCCUCAGCCUCAAGCUGUGAGAGGCAUUGAAGUGCACUUGAGCCUAUAAAUACUUAAAUAUUUGCAAUGAUUUAAUUAAUUUAUUAAUUUGAACUAGUCAUCGAUUCAUUGGAAGAUUCUUUCAAAUUUCGAAAAAAAGGAAUCGGAUGAAUUUUGAAAGACUGGACCGUUUAGUUUAUAUAAACUACAACACAAACCAAACAAACUCUUAGAAGUGGAUAAGUAAAAAUGAUCACAUACGAGUAGAUGCUUGAAUUUCAAUAGCAGACGGGUUUGUCUAUGAAGAAAUGGUGUACCUUAUUCUUUGUGUCAUAGUAGUACUUUUUUCCAUCAUUAGUUCUAACAAGUGUCCAAUCAGUACCAGACAACCUUUCCCUGGAAGAAAAAAAUCACAUAAAAUAAUGUAAGACGAUUUCAAAACAUUGUACUCAGAUGAUUCGAUUUUGGAAGAAAAAAAUAUGUUAAAGAAGUAUGCCAAGGUAACAAAUAAAUUUAAAAUACAAACAUCGAUAUUACCAACUAAUUCACGUAAGUACGAUCAAGGUUUUUGAUGUAGUUAAGCGACCAAGCGAUUGUCAGGUCCGCAUAUUGCAUAUGCGAGCGCCUGGUCGCAUAUGCAACCUGUCUUUUUUAGUGUAUUUUUUAUUUCAUAUACAACUUGUAAUUGUAUUACAAGAUUAUAUAAGUAACUCAUUUCACGUAUAUUUAUCACUAAUACUCAGAGACAUCAGUGAUCAGUCUAUCCUACAAUCCCGAGAGACAUAGGAAAAGUUAUUGCCAUUCUUUGGAGAUAGCUACACCUCAUAGUUAGGAGACUAACCUCCUGAGACAGUAUAUCUAGUACUCCUACUAGAGCAUACAUAGCUAUAUAGGAAAGUGUUGAUGAGUUCGCUCAUUUGUCUGCAUUUUGCUUUAUUUUUUAUCUCCUAUGUAUUGGGGAUCGCCCUCCUUUCGAGAUAACUACACUUCAUAGUUGUGAAACAAACCUCCUAAGACAGUAUCUAGUACUCCUACUAGAGCAUACAUAGAUAUAGAAAAGUGUCGAUGAGUCCACUCAUCUCCCUGAGUCCUUGUACUUUGUUUUAUAUUCAAUAUAGGUAUUGCCCAUUUUCAAUGAAAAAAUUUAAUUGCGUCAAAAAAGAUGUUUAAUGGACAUCAACAAUCAACAUUCUUGUCUUGUAAAUUGUAAUUUCUUGAAAGGCUUUGGUCAUAGAAACUUUGUUAGAAUGUUAGAUACAUAUGUUACGUAACUUACGUUUAAUUUUUUACUUUCACUCCUUUUCCAUACGAAUUGGAAAUCUAUAUGAGGGCUUGUUGACAAACUUUUUUUGGCAAGAAGUAAACAAAUUCAUUAAUAAUGAAGGGCAGUGCCCAAUAAGUACAAUAUGAAAGAGAGAAAAUAGGGAGAUGGGUUGAUCCAUCGACUCUCCCCUAUAUAGAAAUUGCACUGAGUGGUCUAGUGAUUUGCCUCAGGAGGUUGGUCUCCCAAACCUGCAGAGUAGAUUCUUCCAAUUGUAAACCACAGUCCUAAAAAAUUUAAAGUCUAAAAGAUAGGUUGGUGCUGACAAACUUUUGACUAGAAGACUAAAGUGAACAAUUCUUUGAGUGAGCUAGAGUGAUAGACCCCCUAUCUCUGGUGAGACUCCACUCACCAAAGAUACACCCACAGAAGAGUAGGAGGGACAUCACAAAGGAAGAUAGUAUGAUCAGGGAUAGUAAGGCACUGCUUUGAGCAUGAUUAGUGAAGAAGUUGAGUUGGUGAGUGAAUUCUCCAGAAGAAAGAUGUGAAAGAUCAAACCAAAACAAAGAUAAGAUGGCAUAGGCCACACACUUGGGUUUUGCAUCCUCCCACCACCUCAGUUGCACAUUGUAAAACGCCAGAGAAGUGAACUACAACACUAUUUCGAUAAAAUUACAUUGGGAGAAAAACCUUGAUCCUUUAUUUCAAGCACUUAGGUAGAAUAGACUGCUAAGAUAAGCAAUACUUUCUUUGUCUUUUUCCUUUUCUAGAUUAAGAGAUUAAUGGUGGCUGAAAAGGAGAGGCACCGGCAAAAUGGACAGAGAAGCAAAGUAUGGAGGCACUUUGGGAGAAACGAGGCUUUCUCAAAGAGAAUGAAACUAAGAUUUCAACGACAAUACAUAAGAGGGAGGAUUGACCAGAAAAUGGAUUCAUUAGGAAAUGGAAGUCAUCGAUCUAUGAUAUCGAGGACUUCAUUCCCUUUGAGAAAGCCUCGUUUCUCCAAAAGUGCCUCCAUACUUUGCUUCUCAAUUAGGGAUGAAUAUAAAGCUCCGAGUCCAAGCUUUUUUUUAGCUCGUUAGGCUCAUAAAUUACCUUAAGUUCGUCAAACAUGUUCGGACUCGGCUCCUUUAAUAAACAAGACGAGUCCAAACUUUUUUCCGAGCUCAUUUACGUAAACAAGCCGAGUCCGAGCUUUUUUUGGAGCUCGUUUGACUCGUUGUACAUCCAUACACUCAAUUAUGAAGGUAUUGAGGUUGCACUCGACAUAUUACCUUCACCAAAAAAAGAGGUUGCGCUGAUCAAUCAGAGAGACAUCUAAUCACAUGAAUUUGGAAGUCUACUAGCACUCACCAUACGGGUUCUUGAGGACACCCCACCAUCAAAGCAUUAGCUUGCAUCAAGGUUCCAGAUGCGCCUCUGCGCGAUGCGGCACCACCUGGAGCACUUGAGCAUAUGCGUGCAGAUGCGCUAGUGGCAUUUUCGUAAAUAUAUACAAAACUAAAGGAAAUUCAUAUAUUUUUUAUAUAUCUAAACAAUAUCAAUUAAAUUUUUUAGUUAAAAAUAUAUUGGAUAGAAAAUUAUUAUAAUACAUAUAUUUAUUAAUUAUUAUAACACCCUAUAAUUCAUUGUAACACCAAGGUUUAAAAACCGAUAGGGGUAUUUUCGUAAUAUUAUAGCUCUUUAAAUGGCUAGGGAUUCUUUAAACUUAUAAAAGAGAGGCUUUUAUAAAAAGAAAAGAAUAAAUAACCUAAGAGGCUUUUAAAAAAUAAUAACGUAAUGGGUUGGGCCUUCUUUAAUACAUCUAUAAUAUCAAAAAUACUAUAUAAUAAUAAUUUAUUUAACUACACUUUUUUAGUCCCACAUCGAUAGAAUUCAAAAAAUACAAAGAAGGUUGGUUUAUAAAUAAAGAUUCAUUUUGUCUAAAACAAAUAUGAAGUCUUAAGAGUGGGAGGAGCUUAUAUUAAAAUAAUAUAGCUCUUUUCAUGAACCAAAGUAUAAAUUUGCCAAAAAUUUAUAAGGUCUUAAAAUAAUUUUUUUUUUGCUUUUUAAAUAAUUUUUCAUGGGUCGGAUUUUACCCGGAUCCGGCUAAGGGAGAUGCGUCUGGCGCAUCUCCCUCUGGGGGCGCAUCAUCGCAUAUGCACGCGCACCCAGAACCUUGGCUUGCAUAGUCAAGCAUCGGUGGGAUGUAAAAAAUCCAUUCCAAAUCAACAAAUUCAAAUAUGCAACCUUCAAAUUAAUCUUUAAGGAAUCCUCUGAUUUAGUGUUUGAUAGGGAAACAUAAAGAAUGGAAAUAUCAAAUAUGUAAGAAAAAGUCCCUCGAUCAGUGUUGGGACUUUGAAGAUAAUCCAACCUAUUGAUGAACUUCAAUCAACAAGAUGGAGUGAGAAAUGCUUCUCUUAUGAGGAAGAAUUCAGUUGGUUAACUGGAUCAUUGUUGGGAAAUAUACAUAUUGGGCCCAAGAAAUAACCCUGCCCUCCUAAUAGUUGAGAAAGUUAGCUUAUAAAUUUAUAUGGAAUAGUAAAAAAGGGAUUCCCUGAUCACAAAUGAUCAUCCAUAAAUCAGAAGGGGGGCUAGGAGAUAGGGAUUUCAUCAUAAUUACUGUUGUAGUGUGUAUUAAGAGAGCAUCAAAAUAGUGAGAGAAAGGUGACUCCAUUUUAAUCAAUGGAUCCAGAAUAGGUACAUAAAAGAGAGAUCUCUAAAAGGGAUCCAUAUCAGGCUAUCAGCAACUCUAUAGACUCGCACUUCUGGAAAUCUUUCAUUUCAGACAGGGAACAAAUUAAUAAAUCCCUAGAUUGUAGACCUCGCAGCAUAGUUCUAUGAAGAUCGUGAUCCUCCAAAAAAAUUUAGGACGAAUUUCAAGAAGCAUAAGACACAAAAACCAUAAGGACCAGUUGGGAAUCUGGUUCCAUAACCAUAUGCCAACAAAAAUUUCCAUUAUGCUAUGGAGAAUUAAAAGGGAAUGUAUAAAUACUUUUCUGAAGUUGAAGAGUUGGGGACUGCAAGUGCCAUCUACCUGCCUCCUAUGCAACUCUCAGAAAGAAUCAAGGAGCCAUCUCUUCUUCAAGUGUCCCUACUCUGAAGCCCUCCUAAUCCAUGUAUCUUAAGAACUCAAUCACUCUUUCUGGAAAUUAUUGAACAUUCCAACCCCAACACUAUCCAUUCUAGACAUCAAAUUGAGGGACCUAACUGAGGCAUGUCAGAAGUUUACUCAUUAUUCCCCCAUUGGUGGCUAUUAAGGAAUGCUACAAGAUACUUGGGUUGGCAGAUUUAGACUGACAGCAAUAGGAGGCUCAUCAAGCAGCACACCCUCAGACCACCAGAAAUUCUCCUAAAAUAAAUAAAUCAAUAGUCAAGGACAUCUGCCUCUCCUUUAAACCAGAAUGUCACAAGAUGAGUUGUUGUCACCCCUUGGAGACUAUUACAGUCCAAAUUUAGGAGACCAACCCCUCGAGGCAGUGUAUCUGGUUACUAUAUCACUAGAUAUCACUAAGUACCUCCCUGUUUUAUUAUAUUCUACUAUUCUCCAUAUGUAUCUAGGGAGCAUUUUGUAAUAGUAUGUUGGUAUUGUUUUAUGUCAUAGCAUUUUGUAAUAGCAUUUUGUGUCAAUUGUUUUAUAUUAGUAUGUUGGUAUUGUUUUAUAUCACACUUUUCUAUUACACUCUUUACACAGCUAAUCUGGGAUUUACAUAAUUUACUAAUUAAAAUUUAUAGGAUAAAUUAUACUUAACAAGUGAUCAUUAAACAUACCAAGAGACUGGGGUUGGCUGAGAAGCGAUCCUAUCUGGCUGUAUAUGAAAAAAAACAAGUGAACAAAAAUAAACAAAUAUGUUGAUUCCAUAUAAAACUCCAGUUAAAACUUAGACAUUACCUCCAACUUAAAACAUAAAGGUUUAUCGUAUGUUGAUACCCUUGUUAGAGAGUUGUAAUAAUAUAUCACACCUUCCUCAGUCUUGUGUGCCAUCCAUGCAUUGAUGACAUUAUUAGCUAUGCACACUUCAUUGUUUUUGAGACUAUCAGUUUGCUUAUCAAGAUCUAUUGAGUAAUGACACAGAUCAAAAUAUUAUAAACAAUCCAGAAAGACAGCUCAUAAAUAAAGCAAGGCAUACCCAUACCUGAAGGAGGUAAAAUUGUUUUUUCCGUUGCAAAAGAUGAUUUUUCCACUGAAGUUGAUGGUGUGGAAAGACCUGUAGGCCUUAUCGGAGUAUGAGAAGGAAUUCCAUAUUGGAAUGGAGAAGGAGCAACCAUAAGACCCGGGUAAGUCAAAAAUGGGGGGUUAUGCACAACACCAUGUUGUAGCCAAGAAGCAGGUGAAGGGGUUGCCGCUGGAUGUAAAUACUGAUUGGGUGGUUGAUACAGAUUUGGCUGGCCAUUAAAGGAAACUGAAUUUGGUGUAGCAGAAUAAGAAGAGGGGGGGAAAGAUUUAUUAGAGGCAUAAGAAUCUGGAACCAUUGGGUGACCUGCAACAUUAGACGAUAAUGGUCUUGAGGGAAGUGAUCCAUGUGGUCUUGAUGACCCAAAAAUCCCAGGCAUCCUAGGAGACGCAUUGAAAGAUGGUCUUGCUAGCUUUGAUGUGAUACCAGGAUCUAAACAGGUAGGAUUAUUUGACGAUGUGCUGACAAGAACAGCUUUGGUGUCUACAUUAUUCUGCAAAAAAAUCCAAUGAUUGCAUAUAUAAAUUGUAAAUAAGUUUUUUUUUUGAAGCAAUAAAUAAGUUGUUUUUCUUUCUAAUAUAUACACAAUCUUAAAAAAUAACAUAAGAUAGUUGAUGUGGUAUGAACGAGACAGAGACAAAGGGUAAAAGAUAUCAAAAAUCAGAUUCUCUCUGUAUUGCAUUAGACAUCAGAUUUAUACAGUUUGUGGAAAAGUGGAAAGCCUUUCGGUUAUCCUCCAUUAUACCUAAGGCCUAAGCCAUCACCCAACAGAAAAUUAAUUAGCAUUUACAAGUUAAGCCUAAUUGCGAUAUUAGCUGAUUCUUUUUUUUUGCAAGUAAAGGUUCUCAUUUAAUAAAAAAUGAAGGGUUGUGCCCUGAGUACAAUUGAAGAGAAGAAAGAUAAGGGAGAUGGUUAAUCUAUAGAGACUUUCCUAUAUAGUUGUAGCACCAAGUGAUCUAAACUAGGUACUUUGCCUAAAGAGGUUUUUAUUUUUUUGAGAAAUAAAACUUUCAUUACUGAAAAAGAGGAUAGCCCAAGAUUACAGAAUAUAAGAAAAUGCAAGUACAGUGAAUGUAAAAAUAUUGUCUAUCUCUUAUACAGCAAUGACCCUGACUAACUGGCCAAGGAUUGAAGCCUCAAGAGGUUGGACUCCCAUGAGCGUAUAGCUUGUAUUUCAAUCUGUGAAAGAUCGUGCUUCUUAUAGGAAGUAGAAUCAUAUGCAAUGCUCACAUCCUUUAUAAUUUCUUUGCUGACAAUUUCUAGGGGCCUUAGGGUGUGUUGUUUUAAUCUCCUAUUCCUUUCACACCAUAUGUGCCAGGAAAGGGAUGCUAGCAUAGUCCAGUGUACCCCCCAACAACUGGACUUGUGGGUGAAUUUUUGUAUUGUUUCCAUAAUAUCUCCUAUCCUAAUAUCUAUUGCGAGAGAUGGGGAAUUUUGCCCACUAAGUGUCCAAACAGCAUUAUUAAGACAGAUAGUGGUCUCUAGCAAUAGGGAUCUAGUGUAAUGGUAGUUAAAGUAUAGGUGUUGUAAUGUUUCUUCCUCAUCUCCACAUAGUGGACAGGACGUAUUUAUGUUGAGUCCCCAACUUUGCAGUCUAGUUAAAGUGUUCAGACUCUUGACCUUAAUUCUCCACAACAACAUGGAGAAUUUGGGAGGCUUUUUGGCCCAGAUCCCUAGAUUUAUCUCUUGUAAGAUGCCUCUGGGCUUUAAUGUUUCUGAGUGCUUGGAGGGGGCAAUUUGUGUGACCCUAUAGUUACUCAAGCAGUUUAUACAUAUCCUUAUUAGCUAGUAUAGUUUUCCACAUGUGAGAGUCCAGAGUAGGCCUACACUCUAUUUCCCUAAUGCUUCUUCCUUUGAUGUACCUAAUUUUUAUCCAGUCUUCUAGUAUGGAGUUAUUAGGACUCCACAUCCUCUCUGUUCUUUUAACCAAAGCUACAACAUUAGUUGCAAAGAAAUCCCUGACCCCUAUUCCGCCUUCGCUCUUUGGGAGUGCCAUUUUUUCCCAACUACUCCCUCUUCUCCCGUCCCAAAUGAAGUUGUAAGCUAGGCUCUGGAUCUUUUUAAUAACUGUGCAUGGCAGUGUGGUUCCGUUUGCCCAGUAUUGAAACAUACCUUGUAAGACCCAAUUUACUAAUUGGGUUCUGCACUUCUGUCUGCGUAAGACAAACAUCUCCCUUUCCAUCUGGCUAACAUUUUUUCUAUUGGAUUUAUCAACUUCCAACAUGUCGUGUGAGUUUUCUUUCUUCCCGUUAUUGGGAGACCAAGAUAGUUGAUAGGGAGAGAUUUAGUUGGGAAGUUGAGAAUGUUAUGCAGAUAAUGAUCAUUCAUGCAUACUUUUGAGUAGAUUGUUGAGCUCUUCUCCUGAUUAAUCUCGAGGCCUGAGAAUUUGGAAAAAGUCUCUAGGAUUUUUUUGAUUGUUUCUAGAGACUUGGGAUUUGCCUUAGAGAAGAUCAACACAUCAUCUGCGUAAAUGAGAUGCAAGAUGGAAACCGCUCCAUUCAAGAUAUAAGUAUUCAUCCUCUUAUCUUUGAUCUCUUUCUCUAUUAGUCUGCUAAGAUUAUCCAUUACCUUAUCUAUGCGAGUCAUUCCAAAACUCUACCCUUACAUCUAGAAAGAGCGAAAUCCAAUCUUGAUUCGAGAAUGCUCUGUCCAGUCUAGAUUGUACAAACCUGUCCCCUACCUGCUUAUUAUUCCAUGUAACUUCCCCCCUAUUGAGGGGACCUCGAUUAACUCUGCUAGAUCGGUAGCUUCAUUGAAUUCAGCAGGCCCUCCAUGAGCAUAAACCCCGGCCCCUGGUCCUCUCCUUUCCUUUGGAGUUCUUAUUUCAUUGAAAUCGCCCAACACUAACCAUGGGUGGGAGAUGAUAUUAGGUUGGAUGUUCUUAAUUGUGUUCCACAACGGUCUCCUAGCUUCCCUUGUGUUGUUUGCAUAUACUACUGAGAUAUGAGAGCCUUAGUAGUCUCCACGGCUCCUCCAAUUGAGAGCCAUAUAUUUUCUUGUAGAUCUCCUGUCUGAAAGAAAGGCUUGUGUCUCUAGUCAUUUCCUGAAAUAAUAUUUAUGGGAGCCUUAGGGAAUGAUACUUCAGCCUUCUGUUUCUCUCAGACCAGAUAUGCCAACUGCCAAGUAAGACUCCCAAAUGCAUUCUAGUGAAGACCUCAUGGAGGAGAGUAGUGGAUGAGCUUCUGGCGAAAUUUGGUAGGCGUAUGGGACCAUAUCUCCUCUGGUAUCCCUAUUGCUAGGCUGUUCAUAAUUGCCUUAGUUCUGGUUUUCUCUAUCAUUGAACCAAGGAUGAUCUUACUACCCCCAGCUUUCCAUCUUAAGUUAUAGUUGAGUCCUCAUUCUAGACAUGCAUUUAUCUCAUUCAACAUUGCAUGGUUAUCAUUGCAAUGGUGAGAGAAGAUGUUACGGGCUUGGGUUGGAUGUUGUUAUGAGCUUCUCCUUUUAUGUAUCUGGCUAUUUUCCUAACCUUGUUAAUUACAGAUUCAGGAAGGGUGACACCUUGAACCCAGUAGAUGUAUUUGCCUGCAAUGGUCUAGUUCAAUAAUUGUAUUCUCCCACCGGCCACCAUAUAACAGGCAAUUGAUAGUAGGUUUUCAAUGGGUUGGAUAAGCUUCCAACACUGAUUGUAGGAUUUCUUCAUACCCAUAAUAAGGACGCGUAAGUAUGUGAUAGGAAGAUCCUUAACAGGGAAAUCUAAGAUGUCAUAGGGGGGGCUUCUCUGUUAAGUUAUCCGAUAUGGCACAUUCACUAAAAAAAGCCUUUUGUUGCUAAUUAUUUAUUAAGUUAAAGUAUUUCCAAAAAAAUUCCUUUUUUCCAUUGAUUGAUAUAUUAUGUCGGGGCUUCCCUGAGUGGGGUGGGGAGAAUAAGGAUGGGUUACUUCUCCCCUGGUGUAGAAUUAAUCACACCUGAAUCAAUGUUCUUGGAGAGCUCUCUGAAAAACCUCUCUCUAAACUCUAAAGUGUUAGGUCUUAUCCAGAAGGUGUUAGGAUAGUCCUAAGUGAGAUUGGUCUUAGAGUGGGAUGGUUUGACUCAGGAGCACUUGUGGAAUGGUAAUUUCCUCCUGGUGUACUUUUUAACAUGGUUUUAAAAGCGGCCCUUUAAGCGCAAAAAAGCGAAAAAAACGUUUUUUGGAGGCGCUUUUCCAACACUUUUUUGGUCGGGCAGGUGGGUUGGUGGGUAAUCCACCAACCCAUUUAAAAGAACUUAAAACUUUUUUCUUUUUAAUAACAUCCUUAUAUCACUUCUUAUGAUAUUAGCUAAUUCAUUAGAUCGUUAAUAUGUAGCUUUAUAUAAGGAUUUCGUUGCAAACGGGUUUCAUACGAAAGAAAAAAUAUGAAGUUGCUGGCUGUUCAUUUGAGAAGAUAGGAUAUGCUGAUAUGGUACCUGGAAUGGAACAGGAAGUGCCUUUCCCCCAGUUAUUUUAGAACCAAUGCCUGCCGGUUUCUCUGGAUCAGAAGGUUGAGAGUACAUAAACAUAGGUAAAUUUCCCACUUGAGGUUGAGACUGAUUGGUGGCCUGCAAUAAAAUAUUAAAAAAUGCUCGGUAUUAACAUUAUUUUAUAGUUUUUCUACAUAUUACGCAAAUAGUGUCAUAAGAAAGGGAAAAAACCCAUGAAAAUUGUGAAUUACAGUGGUAUGUUGGAACUGCUGACCAGGUGCAGGGCUAAUAUUAGCGUGUGGAACUACGUUGAAUGAAAAAAAUGGUUUAUUUCCUGAUGAUUUCCCAGGAACUGGUGGUUGAAGAGAUGCUGGAGACAUUGGAGCAGUCAAUCCUGUGAUCUGUUUUAAGAUAAAAAAAAUUAGAAGAAGAAAAUGUCUGCAAAGAAUGAAAAAUGAUUUUAAAUAACAAUAAGUGGUAUAUGGUAACGAAAGAUAGGUUAUACUAUAGUCUAUACUCUAUAGAACCCACAGAAUCAGAUGGAGAUUGUUCAGGAGGAGCUGUAGGAGAAACCAUCUGGGGAGCAAUGUUGUAAGAGAAGGAAGGGAUAAAGUCAGGCAAUCUCAAAAUGUUGGUCGGUAAAGGAUCAUUGAUCCUGUUGAUGAUCUCCUUUGGUACAUCAUAUCCAUGAUUACUAGAAACUAUUGUAGUUGAAGAAUUUUCAGGUGUAUUUCGUGAUACUUGAAUACAUGAUGAGCUUUCAAAAUCUGGUCCAUCGAGUGGUUGUUUUGCUGGGGAUGCAGCAGAAGGCAGCACUUGUUGACAUGAAACAGACUCUUUAUUGUCCAAAUUUACAACUUGAACCGGCAUAAAUUCUGAUGUUGAUGCAUUCUCCUCCACUUCAAGUGGCUGUAAUUCUGAAGAUGGCAUUCCUAAUUUAGAAUACCUAAAUCAAUAAAACAUGGAAAUCAAGAAAAUAAUGAGAAACCUAAAUUUUGAUAUGACCCACUUAUAAUAUUAAUUUUGUAUACAAUUUAACCUAAAAAUAAUUGAAAUACCAAUAGAAAUAAAAAUCAACAGUCAAAUCUUAAGAAAUUAACAGUCAAAGUUAAAAUUAAAAAAACAAUUAAAGUCUAUCUUGGCAAUUCCAUUACUAUAAGUAAAAUUCGAUUUCAAAAUACAAAUCGAUAAGAUAAUCAAUCAAUUGCUAUAAGUAAAAUCAUAUUUCAAAUUACUGUAAUCGAUCAAAUUACUAAGAGUCUAUUUUAAUGUUUAGACAAGGUAAAUGGUCUGAAGAAGGCCAUGAUUAUAAUUGUUUCAGAUGUAAAUAAUCUGAAGAAGGUGAUGAUUUGGAUAAUGAGAUCUGAUUUGAAACAAAAACUGUAGGUAAUGAUCUGAAAUAGAAAUAGGAACCUACAGACUGGAGAUGAUUGAAUGAAGUAUCUGCUUCUUGUGGAGAAUGGAGUCUAGUCGUCUGGAGAUGGAUGCUGGAACGACGAAGAUGGCCUGGAAAUCCGAUUUUGGUAAUUUGGAGAUGCUAGGGUUUGAUGUUUGGUUUUGAUUUGGGGAAAAUAACUCAAAUAAGCGAACGAUUAGAGGGAAAAUGAAAUUUUGGGUUUGUUUGUAAAAUUUUAAAUGGUGAUUUUAUUUAAAAUCCUCUAUAUAUCAUUAUUUACAUAAAAAGCGGAUGUUUUAUUUUUUCUACCCCAAAGAACAAGGUAUUUUAAAUAAGUAUUUUUAAAUCAUUUAAUUAUAAUCUACACCCUGUGGCCUGUGGGAUGCAUUUUGGCCUGGCAGUCCUUAAACUUAUUGAGCCCAGUUCGAACUUCAGCUUUCUAAGCUCGCCUUGAUAAGUUUGGUAGGAACUAAAAUUAAAAUAUACUGCUUAUAAAGUUAUAAGCUGUUUAACGAGCUUCAAGUUUGAUGAAAUCUUUAUCGAGCUUAACUUGGACUCGAGUUUGAUCGAAUCAAGAAAACAGACUUUCAUCGACGGAUUUUGAUCGUCCUUAAAUUUGAAGAAAGAUUUUAUAAAAAAUCCACGAUACCAACGGACGACUUGUAAAAUCCUUCACUGAUAUAAUUAUAUAUAUUUAGAGAUACUUAUAGUACUUCUAUGGGCGGACCGCAGGGCUCGCGGGCCAGACUCAUUCUUAGUCCAACUUGUAUGAGCUUGGAUACCUAUUACCAUCAAUGAUUUUCUCGACCCACACUCACCCAAAUUUUUUCAAAGGCCCCGGCCCAUCUUAAUAAAACCCUAUUUUUUCAUUCAUUGUUUCUGUACGCCUAAAACCCCAAGGGCCAAGACACUACCAUUCUCCGAGCGGAAACCCUAGGUUUCGUUCAACAUGUACCGCGCUGCAGCAAAGAUCGCAUCCAAUGCCCGGUAUUGGGAGAUAUUUCAUUCGUAUUUCUAUCUCUUCUUCCUUUCAUUUAUUCUUUCUUGGUUCGUUGAUCCUUCGAUUUUUGUUUGUGCCAUUUAUGCAGGAUCGCUGGAGUUCUUGGUCAGCAGGUAAGGUUUUAUUCGUGACAAGCUUUUCUUCUUCUGUGAAUGUGAUUUAUGUCACAUGAUAGAAUGAAGUUGAAAUACAAUUUUUUAUGCGUGAUGCAGAUCGGUGGUAAAUUUGGAUAUGCAAGGAAUUAUGCGGCCAAAGAUAUCAGAUUUGGGGUUGAUGCCCGUGCUUUGAUGCUUAAAGGUGUUGAGGAACUUGCUGAUGCUGUCAAAGUUACUAUGGGACCCAAGGUUUUAAAAUUCAUUUUGCUCAUUUUUUUUAUUAAUCCUGAAUUCUUUUAUAUUCAUUUUUCCAUUUUACCCUUUGCUUUUCUGCGUCCUCUUUUGUUGUUUCUACUUUCCAGAAAGAAUAAAGAAACAAUGAAAAUAACAAUCCGCAGGCAUAACAAAAUUUGCUUCGUUUUUUUUAAAAUUUAUCUCUAUGCAUUUUUUUAAAUUACUUAAAUCUACCUAUGUAGUGGUUCUUUACAUUCAAAUAAAAAUAUGAUUUUGCACUUAAGAAAUUAUAGAUCACAUUCCUUCUUUUUUAAGGUUUAUAAAUAUAUUGAAUGCUGAAUUGAUUGAUUUUUUGUAAUGAAAUUGAAAACCAGGGUCGCAAUGUUGUUUUAGAACAAAGUUUUGGUGCACCAAAAGUCACCAAAGACGGUGUUACUGUUGCAAAGAGCAUUGAAUUUAAGGACAGGGUUAAGAAUAUGGGCGCUAGCCUUGUAAAACAGGUUGCCAAUGCAACCAAUGAUGUUGCCGGUGAUGGUAAGUUUAUAUAAUACAGUUUCAUUUUCCCUGAUUGUACUGCCACCUAAAUCUCCUUCCUUUGUCAUUUUACUUGUUCUAAACAGAAAUAUUUUUACAUUUGAGGGCUGUAAAAUAUUCUCAUUCUUUAGUAGAUUAUUGAUUUUUCAUUCCUGUCUUUUUUAAGAUUAUGAUUUUUAAGCCUAUGCUUUCUGCAUUCUGCAGGUACUACAUGUGCAACAGUUCUUACACGAGCAAUAUUUUCUGAAGGCUGUAAAUCAGUUGCAGCUGGGAUGAAUGCAAUGGAUUUAAGACGGGGAAUCACGAUGGCAGUUGAUAAUGUGGUGACUACCCUGAAAAGUAGAGCUCGAAUGAUUAGCACAUCUGAAGAGAUUGCUCAGGUACACAUUUUAUAUAAUUAUCUCCUCAUUCUUUUGAAUACUUGCAAUGCAUGUUCUUCAUUCAGUUAUUGCAUAUCUUGAAAAAUAAUUCUUUGCAUAGGUUUUAUGAUGUGUGCCUUUUUACAUUUAGGUUGGUACAAUAUCAGCAAAUGGUGAAAGAGAAAUUGGUGAACUCAUUGCAAAGGCCAUGGAAAAAGUUGGAAAAGAUGGAGUUAUCACUAUUGCUGUAAGAUAAUUUCUUUAAAGUUGCUAAAUAUAAUUAUUCAGUAAUCAGUAUGUAUCAUGUACUCCCAUUUUCUGAACAAACAUCUAUUUCUAGAAAAUAAGUUGGCUUUUUUUUGUUUAAUGUUACCUUUAUCCUUAUUUUGUAGGAUGGAAAAACACUUUACAACGAGCUUGAAGUUGUUGAGGGAAUGAAACUUGACAGAGGUUAUAUUUCUCCUUACUUCAUCACCAAUCAGAAAAACCAGAAAUGUGUAAGUUCUUUUAAUCCACACCAUUUCUUUCAUUUGUAUGUAUAGACCCAAAUGAUAUUCCAAAAUUUGGUGCCCUGUAGGAACUUGAAAAUCCUCUCAUUUUAAUUCACGAAAAGAAAAUAUCAAAUAUUCAAGCUUUGGUUAAAGUGCUAGAGAUGGCACUAAAAGUAAGUUUUCUAGCAGUUCAGCUCUCCCACACUCUUCUUCCCGAAUUAUUUUUGAAGAUUUUUUCUCGAAAAUUAAAUAAUGCGUCAUUAAAUAAUUUUACUGAGCAGAUUCAAAGACCUCUGCUAAUUAUCGCUGAAGAUGUUGAGAGUGAUAUACUUGCAACUUUAAUUCUUAAUAAGCUUCGAGCAGGGAUUAAGGUUUGUUUCUUAGAUUAGCAAAUCUGAUGAUUUAUCCUUCAAACCAUUUCCUUUAAAGUAUUGUUUGAAGUAACUAUUCCUUUAUCUCUAGGUUUGUGCUAUUAAAGCUCCAGGGUUUGGAGAAAACAGAAAAGCAAAUAUGCAGGACUUGGCUACUCUGACUGGUGGCGAGGUAGGUGUCUUCUCACCUGUUCUCUCAAUUAUUAUUAUUUUUAUGUAUUUAUGUGUAUUUUUUAAUCAAAUCUCAGGUUAUAACUGAAGAGCUUGGCAUGAAUCUUGAUAAGGUGGAAUUUGAAAUGCUCGGAACAUGCAAAAAGGUUUGCUUCUCAUUUAUUUUUGUGAAAAAUGCUAUUUUUAUAUUUUCAAAGCAACGUUUUCAAAGGUUUUUACAAAAUUUUAUAUACAUAUUGUUUAUUCUAAGAAUGGAUUUUUAUGUGUUUUUAAGAUGGCUUGGCAAUUUUACUUUUCUGCUUUGGAUUUUAAAAUAUUGUCUAACUUAAUAAAAUGAUUUGUAUGCUUUCAAGGUAACUAUUUCCAAAGAUGACAGUGUUGUCCUUGAUGGCGCUGGUGAUAGAAAAGCAAUUGAAGAAAGAUGUGAGGAGGUUUGUGUGAUUUGCAUUUAAUAUAUUUUACAAUUCUAUUUUGCAGUGCAUUGAUGUACAUUUGUUAUUUUGCAUUAACUUGAAUGUAUCAUUUGGUAAUUUGGCAGCUGAGAUCUGCAAUUGAAGCAAGUGAUUCUGAUUAUGAUCGGGAGAAAGUACAGAAAAGACUAGGAAAACUCUCAGGUGGUGUUGCUGUUUUGAAGGUAUUGGUUGUAAGAUUGCCAUGGUUUCAAUUUUCUUGUUAAAUUAGCAAAGUAUGUGUCAUUUAUCUCCAGUUACGAUCAAACUCAUUAAAGAAUAGACUAUCGAUUGCGAAGAUUAUAAUUGUUUGCUGAACUUGGAUAUUUAAUGAUUGGUGGUUUACAUUGUUUUUCCUUCAUUUUUAUCUAAACCCUAAACCCUGCUUAACUUGGAUUGAAAGUACCAGUGAACAGAUGCAUAUUUGUUGAAUUUUAUGUUGAUUAGUUCCUGAUUUUCCUACUGUACUUAAACUGGGUGUUGUUUAGAUUGGAGGUGCCAGUGAAGCAGAAGUUGGUGAGAAAAAAGACAGAGUUACUGAUGCCUUAAAUGCAACGAAAGCAGCUGUUGAGGAGGGCAUUGUACCAGGUGGAGGUGUUGCUCUUCUUUAUGCAUCUAAAGAGCUCGACAAGCUUCACGUUGCAAAUUUUGAUCAGAAAAUUGGUGUCCAGAUUAUCCAGAAUGCUCUCAAAGUAUUAUUUAUUCGUAUUUAUCAUGCAUUUUUUUCAUUGUUUUCUUUCCGUUAAUCUUUUUUAGUUUAUCAUUAUUAUUAACUAAACUUUCAACAUGUAGACACCAGUUCACACAAUAGCUUCCAAUGCUGGAGUUGAAGGUGCUGUUGUGGUCGGAAAGCUUUUGGAGAGUGAUAACUAUGAUCUUGGUUAUGAUGCUGCAAAAGGUAUAGCUUCUUUUAUUCAUCGAAUUGUGAAAUUCUUGUUUUUUAUAAAUAAGAAAUAAGUUGAACUUAAAAUGUUGUAAUUUUCGUGCUUUUUCCAUAGAUGAAUAUGUAGAUAUGGUGAAGGCAGGUAUAAUCGAUCCAUUGAAAGUUAUCCGAACUGCAUUGGUUGAUUCUGCAAGGUAAAAAAAACGAAUGUCUGAUGUUUUUUCUCUAGAAAUUGAGCUAGUAUUAAAUUCUCUGGAAAUUUUGCAGCGUCUCUUCUUUGAUGACUACUACCGAAGCUGUUGUCACAGAACUCCCUAAAGACGAAAAAGAUGCUUCACCAAUGCCUGGAGGAAUGGGUGGGAUGGAUUACUGAGAAAUUAAUCAGUCAAUGAUUUUAAUUUUUUUUAUAAUAUUUGUGCUCAUUUCAUAAUUCCUAAUGGGUGGGCAUCAACCAUUACACCGGUAUUUAUUGCUUGUGCUAUGGUUGUGUUCCUUUGGUUUAGUUUCUAAACCUCUUUUUUUUUAUAAAGUUAAUUUUUAAUAAAUAAUUGACGAGAGGUGUUGAGCAUUGUGCUAAAUAUACAGAAAUAUUUUCGAAGUAGCACAUUUAAUCUUAUAUUCUUUCAGCCUUGGUUACUAAUUUACUCUUAUGAUGAGUUUUUUGAAGGAUGUUGACAUUUUUUUUCUUACACUAUUAUGAAUUUAUGAUUGUUAUAUUUCAUAAUUUUUGUAGUGGUGAAAUUAUGAAAUAGAUCUUCUCUUCCCAACAUAUUUUCACCGUGGAUGAUUGCUAGGUUGUUGGUCGAGUGCACCGACUCCGAUGGGGCAGUAUGUUGUUUCGUCGACGUCAGGGACAACUUGGUCAACGACAAAAUGUCGUCACCCUUCAUGCCUCACUCUUUGUAUACUUAAGCGAAAUAAUUCAAAAGACAGAAAUGGAUAAUUGAUAUUUAAAUUUUAUAUAAUAUUAAGAUAACAAUAGAGCAAUUAUAAUUAAAUUAAUUCGGGCUUGGCUCAUUAGCAUUUAGCUCAUACUUUAAUCUCCAAAUAAAACAGUUUAAUAAACGUCGUAUUAAAAAUUUAAAAUGCACUUAUGAGUUUAAAUAUCAAACAUUCCUUCAUUCUUAUUAUUACAGAUAAAACUAAAUAGAGAGGAAACAUAAAACGCUAUUUUUAUUUCUAGAUUCGCCAAAUCUUACUGCAAUACAUUUUUUUAAUGGUCGUCAAUUUUCUCUGCUAAAUUUGUAUAAUACCCCACCCACAACCUGGUUCCUCACCUUUGUAUUAGAAUUGUUCGUCACCUUUAUACCAUGGUUUUCUCAAUCUCUCUAGACUACAGAAGAACACCGUGUCGCAAAACUGAAACGUGUGCGUGCAACCCACUCAAACAUCUGCAACACUAUUAGACCUUGUUGAGUACUCGGAUACAAGCUUUAGGAACAUAGAAGAUUUGUCUUCCAGUAGCCGGUAUGGUGUGUCGUACUCAGCUACUCGACCUGGAAAAAAAAUUAACUGAAAUUAUAUUCUAAACAAAUGAUGAUGAAAUUUGUAAUGUUUUCUUUACCAUCGCUGAGGACCAGAACUAGAUCACUGUCGAUUACAGUGGGGAUCCUGUGAGCAAUUGUGCAUACUGUGCAUGCGAUAAAUUCUGUUCUAAUGAUUUUUUGGACAAGAUUGUCAGUAGCUGUAUCAACUGAGGCUGUUGCUUCAUCAAGUACCAAUAUUCGUGCUUGUUUCAGCAAUGCCCGUCCCAAAGAAACCAGCUGCCUCUGCCCAACACUCCAAUUGUCUCCAUUUUCUGAUACUGAAAAUCAGACAUUAUUGGCAGAGAACAAAAAAUCAUAUCACAACUUAAAAAUGAGACGUACAAUUAAAUAUUACCAGCUGUUUCCAGCUUUUGGUCCUUUUGCCUAACAAAUUCACCAAGUUGGCAUUUAUCAAGUGCCUGAAACAAACAUCAAUGAAACUCAAUUACACAUUUCAUAAAUAUAAAUCUGCAUAUUUGAGAAAGUACGGUGAGUUCAUUUUACCUGCCAAACCUCAUGAUCUGUGUGUUCUUCAAGAGGAUCAAGAUUCCCUCGAAUUGUACCCUCAAACAAUGUAGGGUCUUGUGGGAUAAUACUAAGACGACUACGAAGAUCAUGAAGACCAAUACUACCAAUAUCAAUAUUGUCUAUAAUGAUUUUUCCAUCAACAGGUUCAACUAAACGGAACAAAGCCUGUAUAAGGGUAGAUUUACCACUUCCUGUCCGCCCAACAAUCCCAAUCUUUUUUCCACCGGGAAACAUACAAGUUACUCCAUGAAGAACAGUUGGCAGGUUCUCCUUAUAGCGAACCUAUUGAAUAAAAGGGGAAAGGGAUAGCAUCAUUCACAUACCAAAACAUAUAAAAUGUAAAAAAAUACUAUUAUGAUUGCUAAUUGCUAUAGUGCUAUCAGAUUUAAGGCAUUAGAAUGAACUCGCUGGAUUAGAAGGAAUAGUAAAUAAAAGGCAGCGUGUGUCAUCUUUCUGCAGAGGAAAAGGAAGGAACCCAAACAUGUAUUCAAAUGCAAUUUUCUACCUUGCACCCAAACAUGUUUCCACAGAAUAAAGAAAAAGGAUUUCAAGUUCCAACCCCCUCUGACAAGUAGCCUGAUACUUCCUAACUCUGAAGUUCGGGUUCAACUCCAGCAGACCUUAAAAACAUUACAAACAGAAAUAAUUUUGAAAUGAUAUCCAACGUUACUUCAGUUAUGCAAAUGGUGUAUAAUGGAUCAGAAAAAUACAACCCAUGAUUCUUAAAGAUGUUGAUUUAGAAUAUAGUUCAAGUGAUUUUUGUUCAUGAGUUUCAAAUGAAGUAUUUAUCCUUUAAUUAGACAUAUAGAAAACAAUCAAAUUUAUUUAUUUAUUCUGAUUGAAAGAAUGCUGAUUGCAAAUUGCAAUGGGUCUUUUUGAAAAUAACUAGACAUCUUUGUGCAUACAUAUACAUAUUUAUAAUGAUACAAAGCAGACCCAUCUUUUUUAAUCAUUGGAGAUCCAUAUACAAAGCAUGUUACUCUGCAUUGAGAUAUGACACAAAAUGAAGAUACCUGGUAUUUCCAAGUUCAUUACUCUCGUAAUAAAAAGAGGUAGAACCUCAAAUGGCAAUUGCAAUAUCUAAAAUUAAAAUGAAUGAUGUAAAAUUAUGGAAUAAAAAAGAGAUGGCAGAAGUUACCUUGACAUUUAUGAACUUAAUUGUUCCAUUCUCCGGCCAAGAAAAUGGUGGACGAAAAUUUUCUACAAGUUGGGGUGCUUCACUGGUUAUAUUGGAAUAUUGAUGAAUUCGCUCAAUCGAUAUAAUUCUAUUUUCAAGCUUACAAAAGCUCAAUAUCCAUCGUGAGAGACGUGCAUUCAAAUUAAGACCAUAUGUCACAGCAAGACCAGCCAUACCUAUAAAAGGUUCAGAGAUUGCGAUAUUUUUAUGCACAUGUACAAAAAAUGGUUUGAUUUUGGCUAUUAAUGAUUUUUCAAUAAAAAAUUAAAAUAAAGGUCAAAAGAUAUUUCUUAUCAAAAAUAUCAUAGGAUAAUUAAAGAAUUAAGGUAGUGCAUACUUGGAUCAAUAGUUCCAUGUGGGAAGCUCACAAGAAGACCCAUACAGAAAGCAAAAACAAAAGUUGAUAGCAAUUCCAUUCGGAAACAAAGCCAUUCAAUUGCUGCAAUACUAUAGAAAUAUGGUCGAGCAAAACAGUCAAGCAGAUAUAAAUUUCUCUUCAUAAAUCGCUUUUCCUGACCAAAGCCUCUUAUUGUAGAAGCACCAGCAAUGGAUUCCCCAAACAAAUUGAUCACUGGUGACUUUUGAAUGCUGACAAUUCGAACAAGUUCCCUAGAAGAACUCAUGUAGUAUUUCUGUUCCACAUAAUUGGAAGCUUUAGUGUAUCUGGUUGUUUUUUCCAAUAAAAUAGCAUCUAAUGAUAGCAUUUCAAUUUUAUAACUCAUGAGUCAUGAACAAUUUCUUAUAGAUAAAAACUUAUAUAUUGGAAAAUCAAAAUAGGAAUGAUUUAAUUAUUGCUGUACUUCUUAUUUACCUGCAUCCACCAGCAAGCAAUAGCCAUUGGAAUUAUCAGAAUUAAAACUUGCCAGGUGACAUCUGCCAUUACAGCAACUAUACCAAGAAGUUGUAUUGUCGUUGAUGCAAAUCCCCCAAGUCGAAAAGGAAUAUCUAGAUCAACAACACUUUGAUCUACGGAUACCUGAAGAAGUUUAUAUUAAAAAAUAAAUAAAGCAUUUAUAUAUUUUCUAAAAGAUUUUAGAGAUUUCCUAUCUACAAUAACAUACACGAUUUAAGAUUCGCCCAGCUGGAGUUGAAUCAAAGAAGGACAUGGGUGCUCGAAAAAUACACCUUAGCAUAUUUACAAACAACUUCUGCGCAGCUUUCAGCCCAAAUGUGGCUACAAGAAUUGCUCUUAUAAAUACAAAACAUGAACUUCCAAAUGCAAGGAACAUAUAGACUACAAGAAGGGUCAUGUUGCUUGUUUUUGCCUCGUCUCCUUUGGUUUGGGGAUUUGCCCACGCCAUCCACCAAUUGCUUGCUAUCUGGAAAAGUUGAAACGACACUUGUGCCAGAAUAAUUAAUGGUAUGAGUGCUCCUUUAUAUGCUGCAGCCAUAUAAGUCAAAUACACCUUCAAGCUAAUUUUCCCUCUUUCUCGUUCUUCAUCCUGAACAAGCUGCUUCUUCCGCAUGAGUUUUUUUUUCUUUUUUUCCUUCAUUGCUUUCUUGCCAGAAGAAGACUCUUUUUCAUGCCCUAGUUUGGUGAUGCUGUUGCCACUGUAUAUGUUUGAUUCUGUUUCAUCACCGGUAAUAGGUCCACAUACAUCUUCAGAUGCAUAUUCUGGAAUAUCCAUAGCUUCAAUGGCCUCGUGAUGAGCUGAAACCAAAGUAUUAAAGUCAGUUCCUGCCUGCAAAAGUUCGUCAUAUUUCCCAGCUUGAAUUAUAUGGCCUUCUUUUAGGACCUGCAAAAUAGCAAAUCAUGUGAAAAAAAUACCAAAGGUUCUCUCCAUUUACAUGAUUCUUCAGUAGAAAGAUAGAAACAAAAAAAUCUAUAUGUACGUACAUAUAUUUGUGUUUAAUUAUUUUUAUGUUAUUGCUGAAAAUAGAAAAAGUUUACUCACAAGUAUCAAAUCAGCCUCUGGUAAAAACUCAACUUGGUGGGUAACAAAUAUGACGGUCUUACCUUCAAGAGCAAACAUUAUGUAUUCCUAUAAUAUUUAAAACAAACAAAAAAGGUCAAGAAGAUUCAUGGUUACAGAUAUUCUAGGGACAUCAAUAUAAAACUAAAUUUGUACUUUAUAAUUUCAUUUGUUACCUUGAAUAAUUCACUUCCUGUGUGUGCAUCAACAGCACUAAAGGGAUCAUCCAGUAAAUAAAUAUCUGCAUCUUGGUAAAGAGCUCUAGCAAGCUGCACUCUUUGUUUCUGUCCACCACUAAGAUUAAUGCCUCUGUCACCAAUAAUGGUUUGAUCUCCAUGGGAAAAUAGUUCCAGAUCCCUUUUUAACGAGCAUGCAUAUAGUACACUUUUAUAUCGUAUUUUAUCCAUGGCACUUCCAAAGAGAAUAUUAUCUUCUAUGUUUCCUGACUGUAUCCAAGCUGAUUGGGAGACAUAAGCAGAAGAACCACUUAUUUUAACCUGAUGAAAAAUCCAAUAAGAAAUAAUGACAACAUGACAUAAAAGUGUAAACAUGCAUGUUUUAGCAUGAAUAAAAAAUUAAGAGAUUUAUUUUAAUUUUUAAAUAAAAUGUGUGAAUGAACAUUUACCACUUACUUCACCCGAAAUCUUGGGUAUCUCUCCAAGAAUGCAGGAAAGAAAACUUGAUUUCCCAGAACCAACCACACCACACACUGCCACAUGCAUUCCCUUGGUAACUUUCAGUUGAAUAUUUGAUAGUGUUAGAUUUGGAGAUGCAGGGUCCCAACAGAAAUUGCCAUCUUUGAUUUCAACAGCCAUAUCCGUCAUAUCUUGAGGAACACGAAUGGUUGCAUCUCUUGGCAAUUCAUCCUGUUGUAAGAAACCCGAUACCCUAUCUAAGGACACCGUUGUCUGGGCAAUCAUAGAUAUUAAAUCUGGGAAAUUUCGAAGUGGCUCUUGGAGAAUCCUAAAAGUUGCCAAAGCCGAUAGCACACUACCUGCUGUAAGUUGACCACCCAUAAGUAUUCUAGUGGCAAAAGUGACAACAGCAACAAAUAUCGGAGAAGCCCAGAAAAAAAAGGUGAUAAAAGCCUGAGAAUAUAAAGCUUUCCUCAGCCAUUUGAACUCAACAUUCCUCAUUUCUUCUAGCUCCAACCUGUAGCGAUCCUCCCAAGCCUGCAACUUAAGGAUUCUCAUAUUCUUUAAACAUUCUGAUGUCUUUCUCAUCCUUUCAUCCUUGGCAGCCAUCAGUUUGUCCUGAUACUCUUCUUGAAUUUUUGCUAGAGGAAUUGUUAUAACAAUGGAAAUAACAGUAGCAAUUAGUGUUGUAAUAGAUGCAAGACCUACAUUCUUGUACAAGAUUGCCAGAGCAAGAAUAAUCUGCAUAGGAAGCAUCCAGAUAUCAUGAAGGUACCAUGAAUAGUCACCAAUUCUUUGCACAUCAACAGCCAUGUAGUUCACAAUCUCACCAGUGGUGUGACAUCCACGAGCCGUGCUUGAGAGUCUAAGCCCCUUACGAUACACCAUAGCUGUUAAAGAUGACCGUACAUGCAUGCCCAAAAUAUCUACUCCUAAAUACCACUGACGAGUAGUGACUGUUUCAACUAAUUUGGCAGCAAAGAAAAUUGAUGCUAGAAUAUAACCUUCAUGUUCAAAAGUAAUAUUUCCACUCAAAUAAUCGACAAAAUAGCUGAUUAGAAAAGGACCGACAUAAGAGACUAGUGUGUCCAAUCCAGCAAACACUGCAUUAACAGCAGCUUCCUUCCAGAAUGAUCGCCAAAGAGCAAUAGCCAAAGAUGGGGGCUUUGAUGGAUUCUCUAUCUUCAAUUUGUCCAAAUUUAAAUUCAAUAUCUUGUAACAAGUUUUUGAACGAUCCUUCGUAGCUAACAAAGGUAUAUCAUUAAGUUCAAGAGGCCUCUUAGAACCAAUCGACAGGAUAGGAUUUAGCCAAGAAAGAGUAAGUAAGGAUUUAAUCCCAGCGUUCUCAUAAGGAGUGACCUUAAUACAAGCUGUCGAUCCUUCUUCUUCUCCAUCAGAAAGCAGAGGUUCUUGGAGGUCUAGAUUACUGUUAUGAUGCAAUUGUAUACCAGUGACACCACGUAUCGAAACAAAACACAGGAAUGCAAGAGAUGGAAAAGAAAUAAAGUUUACGAUAACGUGGGAACUCAAGGUUAUUAGAUUGUCUAGAAGUAGUUUUGUGUCUGCAUAGGCGAUGUAAAUACAGAGGAAGAAUGCUGAGAUCCACCAAAGCCUGAUAAAGAAAGGAAAUUUAUCCAGCACAUUGAAUUUGCAGUAAAAUGUGGACAAAAGAAGAACAAUCCAAGCUAGAGUUUGAACAAAAGGCAGGUAGAGAAGAGAAUAUUCCCUGAAACUCACGUCACCAUCUUCUUUUCUCAUCAACAAUGUGACAACUUGAAAUCCCAAGACUAUGACUUGUAAUAGUAAAACAUAAAAACAACAGGCAACUGAAACAUAGAACAGUUUACCUACUUCUGUGAGCUGAUGGUCUCCAGACUGACGCCUUACAGCGGUUGUCGGAUUCUGGUGGUCAUCUUUGUAAGGAGAAACUCGACCAAGCAGACAUGAGAAGAAGUGUCUUGUUGAUAGGAAGAAAAACAACGAGAGAAGCAUUGCAAGAUUGACGAUGACAUGUAUUUUCUCCGGUAAAGAAAGGUGAUUGAAGUAAAGGGUAAGAAAGCUAAGAACAGCCAUCUAAAGAUAAGGGUAGGAUAUCGGAAAGAAUAUGAUUCGGAUGUAGAUUCUUUUGAUGCCGACUUAUAGUAAGAACACCGAAGCAGGAGCAUUUGACAAUAACAAAAACAACUAUUUACUUGUUUGUUUCGUUUUCUGAUACUACUACUUAGUCUUUUGUUGUUGAAAUCCUGAAUUCUGAUGAUUUGAGACCUGAAUAGUAUGGAAAAGGGGAAACAACAACAAUAAAUGAUAUUAGGUGAAAGGAAGAAAGGCGGACAAUACAAGAAGAGAAAAUGCAGACGACAUUACACAGAGAGAAACAAUAAUUGAUUAAUAAUUAUAAAAAAAAAAGAUGUUAUAGUUGUAUACAUGAAAAGCAAUAAAAUCCAAAAAAAAACCUUUAUCAAUCUACUCCUUUAUUCCUACCCACCGCUGUUCUCCUCAGGCGGUGAUUCCUUGUGUCGUUUUUCUUCUUCUUCUACUACUACUAUCUAGACAGUACAGUAGCAGCACUCUCUGUUUCUGUUUCUGCUUAUUUGAAAUAUAAAUUGAAAUUAAAACAUAAAACUAACCGAAAGAGGAGAUGAGAUGAAAAGAGGUGGCGAAAACGUGUUUUUACCUCGCCGACUCCGUCAUCCGCUAGUUCUACACCUGGCAACUUCCGCCGCGUGAUAACAGAGAGCGGCGACGAAACCGAUGCGGUGAGAAUAGGACAAAACGGAGAAGGAUUUGGGCGGGUCUUAGUAACAAAGUCGUCGCCCUCGCGGUCCCUUUCUCUCUCUCUCUACCUAUUUUCUCAGUUUAAAAAUUUGAAAUCCAUCGUCACUCUCUUAUUCUAUUCGGUAGUGGAAUUGUGAUUUAUUUUUUUAUGUACUUUAGUAUUUUUUACUGCCACGUGUUAUCACAGAUUUACCAGAAUACCGAGUUCAAAUGAUUUCAUCGACGGACAUAGAUCGAUCCAACACGUGGCAAGGAAUACAGUCAAAUGCAAUUAAGGAAUGAGAUCUGCACAGAUUUUCAUUUUACCCGAUUACGACGUUUUUAUUUUCUGAAGGUAAUUUUAACUUCUUCUUUUUUUGAGGUAAAAACUAAUUCUAAACGAAACUAAAAGUAAAUUCUAUAUAAAUAAAGGGUAAAAAGAACCUGCGGUCAUCUCGAUCGUCCAUAUUUUAUCUGUGAUUGUGAACCGUCCAACCAAAAAUUAAUAUUUUACAUAGUUUAUUUUAUUUCCUCCACCGACUUCAAAUCCUAUUACCAACUCGCGAUUCCGGAUUCCGCCAGUCGCGAGUUCGCGGAUUCUGAAGUGGAGGAUCGAGGCAAUUCCCAGACAAAUGGACGACGGUGGAGGAUGAACACGGAAAUUGAACGGUGGAAUCGUAGGUCCGCACCAAGUACCUCACUGAAGAAGUAGGGGUGACAAUAACAGACACGAUUCGGAAAAAAACACGACACGUUUAUAAUAGUGUCGGGUUAGCGUUGAAAGUUUUGACACGAUUAAUAAUAAUGUCGGUUUAGUGUUUGUCUCUAAAAACACGAAACGACACGAUUACACGAAACGUAAAUUGAGAUUAUAUAACACGAUAACACGAAACGAUUAUUAAUUAAAUAUAAUAUUAUAAAAAUAUCUAAUAUUAAAUAUCAAAUUAUUAUUAAUUAUAAAAAAAUAUUAUCUUAUAUUUAGACAGAAUAGAGAUAUAACACAGUUGUUAAAACAUUUUUUUCAACAUGCGAGAGGUUAUGAGUUUAACCCCCAUGUUUCUAAAUUAAUUAUUUUAACUUACAGGUUAAGUUCGAACCCAGACUCGUGGGCUCGAGUCCGAGUUCAGAUGAUACCUUAACGAGCCGAGCCCGAACUCGGCUUUAUAAGUAAAAGCUCGGCUCGUUUGAUACCCUAGUCGUGUUCGUGUCGUGUUAAAUUUUUUUGAAACGAAUCGUGUUCGUACGAAAAAAAUUAAUCGUGUCAGUUGUGUUUGUGUCAACACGAAUUGUCAUGCCUACACCGUAAUUACUCGGUACAUUUCCAAAAAUACACCGUAAUAAUUUAUAACUAUUUCCCCGAAUCUAGGAAUGAGAACAGGUGGGUCCCAAAAACAGCAGGGUAUAGAUAGGUACUGGUCAGACUUAAAGAAAUCUUACCCCAAUUAGAUGAAAGAUUCGUUACAGAACAUUUUUUUGAAGUCCUUUUGUUUUUACAAACUUUGGAUCUUAUAUAUCUUUCAACAAUCAUAGAAGAUGACAGUUAUGUUCUACCAUAAAAAUUAUUAAUUGCCCUAUUGAUAAAUAGUUAGUAGAUGGUUUAUCAUUGAUUUCAUCCAACUGUAAUUUUAAGAGAUGGUAAAAGAUUAAAAACGAAGAGUUCACGAGGAGCACAGGGAUAACUGGAAAAGGAUCAAUAGACAAAUAUGAAUCCGGAAAGACAAGAAUCUUGUGACCACAUUAAAACAACAAACUACCGAGUUGUCUAGUAGUGAUCAAGUCUCAUGUUGAGUUAACAUACGACAAAACAAAAACUAAUCAUACACCCAAUUAAUGGGCCUCUUCCAAAUCUCAACACGUGAUUAAACUCCGCGACCACUAUGUCACCGCGCAAGAUAUCCAAAUCUUAACGCAGACAUUAUUGAAAUGUUACCCAACAAUGAUUGUAGAUGUAUUUACUUUUCAAACUUGUCUCUGUAUGUACUUAGUGUUUCACAUUUAUACUAAUUACAAUUAAUUAUUACUUAACUACUUGAGAUUACUAACUAACCUAAUAACAUAACUAACUUUAUUGGUUGUUAUUUCAACCGGCGGGGAUUCUCCAACGAGGUUGACUCGGAGACCUUGAUACACAUCUGGUUUUAGCGCUUUUGUCAUAAUGUCUGCUCGCUGUAGUUUCCCUGGGAUGUGUUUAACUUCUAUGUCGCCUGCGUCCGUCUUUUCAAGUACGAAAUGCAAAUUCAUUGCUACAUGCCUGAGCUUUGUGUUAAACCUAUGAGAGGGAGGCGUGCCGGCGAUAUUGGAGACCAGAGUGGCCGGAGGUACGCGAGCACUGGGAGCGAGAAUUUGGGGGAACUUCUAGGGUUCCUCAAACUAACGGAACCUAGAAGUUAGUUGGGGGAGAGAGAGGAGAUUACGCUAAUCACUGUUUGCAUUCAAUUAAUUCAUAUUAAUGUUUACAAGGGUUUUAUUUAUAAUACAUAGACUCAUUAACUCUAACAGAAUUUGUAUAACUAAUAUUAUCAUAAUACUAUAUUACUUAUACAAAUUAUUUUAUUUGAGUCCACGCAUAGUUGGCCCAUUAGUUUCUUUAUUGAAACUUUUGCAACUUGCUCCCCAAGCUUUCUUGAUAUGAUGCGUGUGUGUCUUGAGACAUUUAUCUGCAUAAUAAAACUUCACGGACAAUGACAUAUAGGUCCUGUUAUAUAAUUACUUAUUUAAACUGUAUUUACAGAGCUUAUUUUACAGUGUAUUAACACUGUAAUUUCUUUACUUUGUGUGACAGAUCAGAUUGUUUGCUACGAAGGUUGCCGUAAGGAGUGAUUUCAUUGGGGUCGGAAUUACUAUACCAAGUUCCGUAAGGAGUGAUUUUGUUACUUACAGUUCUUACACUGUGUUUGCAAUCGUCCUGUACUCGGCUUCGGUGCUCGACCUGGCGACCGUGACGACCAGCUAAUCAGUGUCUCUCCCAAGUAAAUUAACAUUCCAGACUGGCUUUUCCGAUCGACGGUGUCGCCCCCCAAUCCGCGUCGUAGUAACCGGUGAGCGUGAAAUUCGUUACUACGGACAAGGUUAUCUCGAAUGUUUGCGUUCCAGAUAGGUAUCGUAACACCUUUUUCAUCACGACCCAAUGUAGUGGCUUCGGUGACGCCAUGAACUGUGCUAGUUUGUUGACCGCGAAUUUGAUGUCCGUUCGAGUUAACGUGAGGUAUUGGAGCGACCCAAUCACUCUUAUAUUUUUGUUGAUUUUGUGAUUGGAGCUUCUUCAGAGAACAUAUCCUGCUGUGCUAUCAUUGGGGUGUUUGAUGGCUUUAAAUUCGUGAGAUUGCAGCUUUCCAACAUGUUUACUAAGUAGUGCUGCUGGGAUAGGAAGAGCGUCUUAUUGGUUAGUCGAACCUGAAUGCCGAGGA